rfam:Arabis alpina cultivar Pajares Aa.chr4_contig_1637, whole genome shotgun sequence.
AACCCGUGGUGAGGGCAGUCCCUCUGAUAACCCAUGAAAUGCUCCCACGAAGCCUUGAAUGCUUCGAUUGGUCCCUGAACAAAAAAAGAGAUCUUCGCUCUCAACUC